rnacentral:rRNA from 1 species
UACGGGGGGGGCAAGCGUUGUUCGGAAUUACUGGGCGUAAAGGGCUCGUAGGCGGCCAACUAAGUCCGACGUGAAAUCCCCAGGCUUAACCUGGGAACUGCGUCGGAUACUGGAUGGCUUGAAUCCGGGAGAGGGAUGCGGAAUUCCAGGUGUAGCGGUGAAAUGCGUAGAUAUCUGGAGGAACACCGGUGGCGAAGGCGGCAUCCUGGACCAACACUGACGCUGAGUGAGCGAAAGCCAGGGGAGCAAACGGG